rnacentral:misc_RNA from 1 species
UCCCCCGUGAGGGGGCAGUCUCGCCUGACUAAUAAAACAGGCAACGAGGGUUGCGUUCGUUACCCCACUGAAGGGAACAACUCAAGCCACGAACUGACGACGACCAUGCAUCACCUGCAUAUCUGUCUUGCGAGGGCUCCGGUUUCCUGGAGCUUUCAGAUAUGUUUCAAACCCUGGUGAGGUUCUUCGUUUGUCAUCGAAUUGAGCCGCAUGAUCCACCGCUUGUGCAAGUCCCCGUCUAUUCCUUUGAGUUUUAAUCUUGCGAUCGUACUACCCAGGCGCAUCACUUAACGCGUUAGCUUCGCCUCAAAGAGGGUCGAUACUCCUUAAAGCCAGUGAUGAUCGUUUAGGGCGUGGACUA